CGCUGCCAGCUGAUCAGAGCAAGAAGCCGGGCGUGUGAUCGCCCGAGAGUUCCGAGAGGAGGACCACAGGAUUCUCUACUCUCCAUACAAAAAAAGUGUGAAAUCCGUCGUAUUCGCCGACUUGCAGCUACUGGUCAUAAGGUGCCUAUCCCCGGCCUCAUCUAUGAAGAGGAAGAAGUGACUGGCUGACCCUCUGAUCCAGACUCAUGCAUUUCUACAUGGAAUGGCUGAUCAAUGCUUCCUCUCUUCUUCUGGCCCUUAAUGGAGGACUGACUACAGCGCAGGCCUCUGCCCCAAAUGGCUGACACACAGCAGUUCUUCACUGGCAAGCUUUAUGUUCCUGUACACACGCUAAAGCUGCCAGCUGAAGAACUGCUCUGGUCAGCUCUCACUCAGACUCGGGAGGAAGUCAGGAGAGGGAUGAAGAAGAAGAGGGAAGAAGGAGAAGAAGAAAGAGACGAGAGACUCACUUAAUUAUUUUCAGUUUAAACAUGCAGCUGACUGGCAACCCUGAGUGACUAAUUAACAUACGUAUUUGAAAUUCAGGUUUAUUUAUCAGUGAACAGCUGUGUCAAACCGUUAACAUGUGAAUGGAUCAUUUAAGGUUAAUGUACCUUAAUCUGAAGACGUUGGAUUGCCUUCAUAGCUUUGGCUGUAUUGUAUUUUCCAAUAAAGUUGACCUUGUGAACCAAAUAUUUGUCCAGC